rnacentral:rRNA from 1 species
CCMAUGUUCUAGCUGUUUCAUGWGGCUGUACAACGACGGCCWGWGRAUSCGUAAUCRKGGUCAUAKSUGUUUCSAGUGSGUGCUUAAAGWUUGAUCSUGGCUSAKAACRAACGCUGGCGGCKUGCUUAACACAUGCAAGUCGAACGUGAUUGAGAGCUUGCUCUCAUGAAAGUGGCGCACGGGUGAGUAACACGUGGAUAAUCUGCCUGGCGAUUCGGGAUAACACUUCGAAAGGGGUGCUAAUACCGGAUAAGCCCACGGUCUCUUCGGAGAGCGCGGGAAAAGGGGGCCUCUGUAUAUGCUCCUGUCGCUAGAUGAGUCCGCGGCCCAUUAGCUAGUUGGUAGGGUAAUGGCCUACCAAGGCUACRAUGGGUAGCUGGUCUGAGAGGAUGAUCAGCCMCMCUGGAACUGAGACACGGUCCARACUCCUACGGGAGGCAGCARUGGGGAAUUUUGCGCAAUGGGCGAAAGCCUGACGCAGCAACGCCGCGUGAGUGAUGAAGGCCUUCGGGUCGUAAAGCUCUGUCAGAGGGGAAGAACCGCCGGGUGGCUAAUACCUGCCUGGUCUGACGGUACCCUCAAAGGAAGCACCGGCUAACUCCGUGCCAGCAGCCGCGGUAAUAC